UGGUUCUGGCAUCGAUGAAGAACGCAGCGAAAUGCGAUAAGUAAUGCGAAUUGCAGAAUUCCAGUGAGUCAUCGAAUCUUUGAACGCACAUUGCGCCCUUUGGUAUUCCGAAGGGCAUGCCUGUUCGAGCGUCAUUAUCACCCCUCAAGCCUUCGGCUUGGUGUUGGAUGGUUUGGUGACCGAGCCCUUUGGGCAACGGUCACCCCUCCCAAAGACAAUGACGGCGGCCUCGUUGGACCCCCGGUACACUGAGUUCCUUACCGAACACGUACUGGAUCAAGGGCCCGCGGAGCACGGUCUGCCUCCCCUCAGGGAGAACUUUUUUCUCAAGGUUGACCUCGGAUCAGGUAGGAAUACCCGCUGA
rnacentral:misc_RNA from 1 species